GGAACAUCAAAGUGAAUAGAAUUAAUUGUUAAGGAACCUCAAAUAUCUGUAAGAAAAUUCCUUAGGAACCCAUCCAAGAAAAUUCACUCAAAAACGAAAGGACAAUCAAGCUGUAAAAAUGUAAAUCACUGUUCUGCUGCAGGCACUCUAGCAACAAAUACAGAUUAUUCCACUGCUGAACACCAACAAAUGCACACAUUCCUCAUGAUUGAGAAACUUUUGCUAAAAACUACACUGACCAACUACUCAGGAAAUUAACAGAACCUACAAAAUAAAGAAAAAACGUCUGGUUCCUCUGACCAGUUUCUAAAGAUUUGUGUUUUCAACAGGGAUGAAUGCCAAAGACGGGCUGAGAAAUUGAAAAGUAUUUACAGAUUGAACUCAUACACUGUUGGUUUUGGCUUUCCUCGAGGAAUCUGUUGGAAGGUUAUCGUUCUGCUGGGAAACCUUGGGUCUUCAGAAGCUCACAUGCUCCAUGCACCCAAACCCCAUCGCAGGACAAUGCCCUGAAACACCACAAAAACUGCCUGGUCUGCAAAUGGUGUUUGGAUAGGUGGUGCAUAUCAAGUGGCAGUUGCAUAAAUGACAGUACCCCAAAAAACAUUGCAUUGUAACCAGCGCAGGAAUUUCAUGAGGGCCACGAGGGCCAAAAUAUCUGCCUUAAGGCCACAGUGGCCUUGAUGCCCCACCUGCACUCCCCUAGUUGAUUUUGCAGUUUUCUCCUCUGCCUCUUCCCUGUCAACACGGCUUUGAACACCGGCAUCUUUUGC
rnacentral:lncRNA from 1 species